UGUGUUCUUCUAGGCUCUCCCAAGAACGACCUAUAUGCAGAAAAUACAAGGAUACUACAUCAGAUGUGUUCUCAACAACUCUCCGAUGUCAACCUGUGCAGGGGUUGAUGGUGGCUGCUGCUCCCACCACUGAUAGACUGCUCUUCAGUCAGCCACGCAGGGUCCACGCAAUGCUGCUGCUGCUGCUGCUGCCACCUGCCCCUCCCUCGCACAGGAUGGCCUUUGGCUAACAGCCCAAAGAGCUCCGGGCUCCCUCCCUGGCUGCACCACCGACCUGCCCAGGGACAUCCCAUGCCAGGCCAACUUGCAGAGCCAAACUGUCUCGCAAUUUCUGUAUGCCUUCAGCUACAAUGGCCUUCAGCUUCAUGGGAAAAUAAAAUAAAAUAACAAAAAGCAAGCAACCAAAA